UUUUUUUUCUCUCCCAAUCGGUUUACUCGCUUGAGUGAUCAUCUGAAGAGAUGGCAAAAGAACAAGAUCAAAGAGAAAACAAGUAAGAAAAAUCAAAGUGAUCUUAGAUGAAGCCAUUGUUUUCUCUUCCGAAGAAGUUACUGAGCUUGAUUUUAUCACUGUGAUGUUACUUGAAAAGAAUGUUAAAUAAUAUUGUGUCCCAUGAGGUUAUCACGUGCAUGGAGUCCCCACGUCAGUUAAUGAAAUUGGAUUCAACGUCAAUGCAAAAAAGCAAUGUCAUUUCGAUCUGCGUCAUACAUGACGUACGCUUCUCUUCAGAACCAGAACAUAUCUCAUCAUAUUUCGGGGUCUUGCUACCUUACAGUUUAUGUAAGGUACAUCCAAGCUAAAACAACUAGAGGUGGGCCAACAAGCAAUUAAAGGUGGAGCCCAGGGCCAGCUUUAGAGUAUCAUGUCCUUAGGUGAAUUUUUUUUUUUAAUGAGACCUCUUUUUAUUUAGCAACUUCAAUACUCAAUAAAAUAAAAUAAAAAACUGAAAAUUUAUUUCUGUUUUAGUUCUUGAAUUUUAACAAAUAAUCAAGAAGAUUCUAAAAAUUUUCAAAAACAAAAUCUAAAUUUACCAUUAGAAAUUCUAUAAAAAUAAACAAUCGAAUAAAUGAGAACAAUAUUAUUUUUAAAUAAAAUAUUUAAAAUAGUAGCACAUAGAAAGUUGAGAUCAUAAAUUGGUGGUUAGAUAAUGGAUAUGGAUUUUGUAUUUCAAGUAACUAUUUUUUUUUCUUUUUUGAAUGAACUAAUUCAUGUAAUAAUCUUCAUUGUAAAGAAGAGAACAAGAAAU
rnacentral:lncRNA from 1 species